rnacentral:lncRNA from 1 species
UCAUAGAUCAGCCAUCCAGAGAGUAGCUCAUAAUUAUUUGGUAUACUGGAUGAGGAUGUAUUUAUUAAGAGAGUUUCUAUCAAGAUUGUGAUUUUAGUUUGUGUAGAGCUUCAUAGGCAUAACAGGUGAGAUAAGAUCCAUUGGAGGUUCUAUCAUUUAGUCAGAGAGGAGGCAGGAAGAUUGAUUCAGGCACUUACCUCGGCA